rnacentral:lncRNA from 10 species
GACUCCCUCGGCGAAGAGGCCCCCGCGGCCGGCCGAGCUCCGUGGACUCCGCAGGAGCGGCCCCGCCCCUCACACUACGCCGGGCGGUUCCCUCCGAGCCCCGCCGGGACAGCGUCGACGCUGCACACACCCCAGAGAAGCCAGAGGACGGCGCCUGCACCGGACACAGCGCAACACCGGCACAGCACAGCGUCCACACCACAAGUGAGCCUAGGCAGCUGUGUCUACACUGCAGACGCCGGCCUGAGCGCACGCGUCUUCAUGCAGGCUCAGCAGAGGGGGAAGAACACCUCCCCGAGGGUGGAAGAGCUGUGGCCAGCAGACAGAUGGACGGACAGACGGACACAGGCGAACAGGCAGCGCAGGGGUGAGCCGAGCCGGUCAAAUGGGCCAGGACCCGGCUCCGUGUGCCCUUCACAGUCAGGAUGACAGAACCCCGUGGAAUAUGAAAAAUGCCGGGAGACAGACCCCGGAGGCACAGCCCCUCACCGGGCAGGGAGGCCGCCAGAGGGAAGCGCAGCUCCAGACCACCAGAGCCCCAUCUGAUUAAGGCAUCGAGAUCAAAGCUCAGCAGAGGGCGGCUCAUGAUGGGCAGCUCAAAAAAAUAAACCCACCAAUCAGAGUCCGUGUUCCUGUGACCGGUGGCGGGUUCGGAUGCAGAGGAGGCUUCUCAGUGCGGUUCCUCCUCAUCUCGGAACCUGCCACCCCACUCAAGCCCGACAUAGGCCAGGACAGCCAGGACGGCCGCAGCGAGGGCAACACGAGGCCCGUCGACAUCCUGAGGCCCCCGGGCCUGUCGCCGAGUCCCGGCUUGGGGAGUGUCCCCGGGCCACACUGGUCCUGCUCCCGGCUGUGUGGUCUCCCAGGCGCGUGGCUCCUCCCUCCGGGGCCCAGGCUCUGGUGUGAGCCACUUUUUCCAUAGGAGACGCCCAUACUUGCAGCUCACGCCUUUGCCUGGACACCCUCACGGGCACUGGGGCUCCACGGAUGCAGAAGGCAGCCUGGCCCGGUAGCUCGGGGGUCUGAGAUGGAGGUGGAGUAAGACAGAGUGACAAAGGCUGCGUCCUGGAGGCAGGCUCGGAGCCUCCCUGAGCUCAGAGAGCCCGCGUGCGCCAGGAAGCCACACCUGCAGGACCCGAGUCGGAACUCAGAGGCUGGUACAGCCGCGGUGCUUGUCCUGUAGAUAAGAAUGGCCUCCUCUGGCGGCCAAAGUUAAUUAAACUGACAAUCUUGAUAAGUUGCACAGUUACCUGCUCGGGGACAAAGAAGAUGGGAGCCUUGUUUGUGGUUUCUUCUUGUUCUUUCCUGUGCCCCACAGUCAUUUUAAAAUUAAAUUAAAUGGCUUAUCUGCACUAACCCAAGUUGACCGGCUGGUAUUUCCUGGGCGGCGAAGUGCUGGCUGCCCGGCCUGUGCCCUGCACACGCUCCCCAUCAGAGCACAACGUCGCCGGGCCACG